rnacentral:rRNA from 1 species
UACAGAGGUCCCAAGCGUUGUUCGGAUUCACUGGGCGUAAAGGGUGCGUAGGUGGUGAGGUAAGUCGGAUGUGAAAUCUCGGAGCUCAACUCCGAAAUGGCAUUGGAAACUACCUUGCUCGAGGGUUGGAGGGGGGACUGGAUACUUGGUGUAGCAGUGAAAUGCGUAGAUAUCAAGUGGAACACCAGUGGCGAAGGCGAGUCCCUGGACAACUCCUGACACUGAGGCACGAAAGCUAGGGGAGCAAACAGG